rnacentral:rRNA from 1 species
CACGGGGGGAGCAAGCGUUGUUCGGAAUUACUGGGCGUAAAGGGCGCGUAGGCGGCCUUCUAAGUCGAACGUGAAAUCCCCGGGCUCAACCCGGGAACUGCGUCCGAUACUGGAAGGCUUGAAUUCGGGAGAGGGAUGCGGAAUUCCAGGUGUAGCGGUGAAAUGCGUAGAUAUCUGGAGGAACACCGGUGGCGAAGGCGGCAUCCUGGACCGGCAUUGACGCUGAGGCGCGAAAGCCAGGGGAGCAAACGGG